rnacentral:rRNA from 1 species
GUAGGGAAUAUUGCACAAUGGGCGAAAGCCUGAUGCAGCAACGCCGCGUGCACGAUGAAGGCCUUCGGGUCGUAAAGUGCUUUUCUGCAGGACGAGGAAGGACGGUACUGUAGGAAUAAGGAUCGGCUAACUACGUGCCAGCAGCCGCGGUAACACGUAGGAUCCGAGCGUUAUCCGAAUUCACUGGGCGUAAAGCGCUUGCAGGCGGCUGGAUAAGUUGGAUGUAAAAUCUCCUGGCUCAACUGGGAGGGGCCGUUCAAGACUGUUCAGCUAGAGGGCAAUAGAGGGAGGUGGAAUUCCAGGUGUAGUGGUGAAAUGCGUAGAUAUCUGGAGGAACACCAGUGGCGAAAGCGGCCUCCUGGAUUGCAUCUGACGCUCAGAAGCGAAAGCUAGGGGAGCGAACGGGAUUAGAUACCCCAGUAGUCC